UUCACAGUCUUAACCCCUAUCAAAAUUUGUCUUGCCCUACAGAAAGCUUUCCCUUUCAGAACUGGGUUGCCAGUGACCAUCAUGAAAUUACAAAUGGAUAGGACCUAGGUCUGCUGAAAACGACGGUAUAGCUAUGCCCCGGUUCUGAAGUAAAAAAGCCUUUGAGAAGCAGGUCAACUUUUACAUCCUAGAGAAUCUUCUAAUGGUGCCCAAUUUACAGCCUGAUACCAGAUUAGCCAGAGGGAAAAUCUGGUUCAGUGAUGAUCAAAAUAUUACCACUUUUCAUGAUGAUCAUGCCAGAUAGCCAAGGGUUGUUGGAACAAGGGAAUACUGAAGACUUUAAUUCAAUCUGAGCUCUUAUUUCAAAUAUUAUUCAUGUUCUUUCCCCUCUCUCAUAAUUCUUGCUAACAAGCACAUGGGCACAAAGCCAUAUGAGUAUUUUAUUUCUAAUUCUACUUCAGGGUAAAGUCCUAUUUCUCCUAAAGCAAUGAUAUGUCUCCAGGAUUUUCAACUGAACUUGAGAGGUCUAGCAACCUUUUAUUGCCCACCUUCACUUUCCUCAAAAAAAGAAUAUUAGAACAGGAUUGCUAUGUUAUUUAGCAGGCGAGAUGAUAAGAGCUUCCCUUCAUACCACCCAAGAGGGACAGGCAGGGCAUCAGGUAAUAAUAAAGAGGGUCAAGGAGUAAAACCAAAGAGAGGGCAAGGGAGCAUACAUGGUAUGAGAGGGUGGGAGGGAGAGUAGCAAAGAAAAAAUGGUGGGCUAUUGAAGCAUGCUAUGCAGCUAUGAGCCCUUAGUACAAUGCUCUGCACUCAAUAAAUUCCAUUGAUUAUAACCAAAAAACCUAUCCGGAGCCUUGUUAUGUUGGGAUUUCCACAUGACCCCUAACUGGGGAAAUAAAAUUCUAAAGAGUUGCUCCCCAAACCCUUCCUCCCACAACACCUGCUGGGAUUGUCAACUGACUUCUAUGAACUCUUGGUAAAAAUUCCAGCUGGUGGAUAAGGAAGGCAAUUACUGGCUAUUAUUACCUCUUUUUUGGCUUCUUUUUUAGGAUCAUAAUCACUGUCAUUUCCAUCCACUGGAUGUGCUUCUUCCACAUCAUCAUCACUAAGGACAAAUAUCAAAAAUUAAUAAACAGCCCUCUUUUCCUUUUAUGUCAAUUCUCUAACAGUGUAUUUAUUCAUCUGCAGCAAUUUGAUCAUCUUCAGAUAACUAAGGCUGUCAUUCCCUCCCAAAUAUGUUAGUGAAUGAAUUUGUAACUAUAUUUUUAGUAUAUGGUGUAAGGACACCUUUCUUUUAGCAUGGCUGCAGCAAAAUCUCCUAAGUGAAAACAUGGAGAGACUCACUGGGAGAGGGUUCAGAGGAAAAUUAUUCAGAAAUAAGAAAACAUAUUGUUCCUUACUCUCAACAGAAAUAAUGAAUGGGAAUGCAAUUUGUUACAGCAAGAAUUGUGGAUUGAAAAAUAAGGUGCCUGUAAUAAAUGGAAAAAUUUAA